GAUGAACGCUGGCGGCGUGCUUAACACAUGCAAGUCGAACGAUGAAGCCCAGCUUGCUGGGUGGAUUAGUGGCGAACGGGUGAGUAACACGUGAGUAACCUGCCCUUAACUCUGGGAUAAGCCUGGGAAACUGGGUCUAAUACCGGAUAGGAGCGUCCACCGCAUGGUGGGUGUUGGAAAGAUUUAUCGGUUUUGGAUGGACUCGCGGCCUAUCAGCUUGUUGGUGAGGUAAUGGCUCACCAAGGCGACGACGGGUAGCCGGCCUGAGAGGGUGACCGGCCACACUGGGACUGAGACACGGCCCAGACUCCUACGGGAGGCAGCAGUGGGGAAUAUUGCACAAUGGGCGCAAGCCUGAUGCAGCGACGCCGCGUGAGGGAUGACGGCCUUCGGGUUGUAAACCUCUUUCAGUAGGGAAGAAGCGAAAGU
rnacentral:rRNA from 1 species